GACAGAGGUGCCAAGCGUUAGGCGGAAUCACUGGGCGUAAAGCGCGUGUAGGCGGCUGUGUGUGUCGGGCGUGAAAUCCCAUGGCUCAACCAUGGAAGUGCACCCGAAACUGCAUAGCUAGAGUCCUGGAGAGGAAGGUGGAAUGCUUGGUGUAGAGGUGAAAUUCGUAGAUAUCGGGAGGAACACCAGUGGCGAAGGCGGCUCACUGGACAGGUCCUGACACUGAGACGCGAAAGCGUGGGUAGCAAACAGG
rnacentral:rRNA from 1 species